AGAAUCAAGCGUUACAAGGGCGUUUAGUGGAUGCCUUGGCGCACAGAGGCGAUGAAAGACGUGAUACGCUGCGAUAAGCCCGGGGAAGAUGCGAAUAAUCUGUGAUCCCGGGAUUUCUGAAUGGGGAAACCCACCUUUACAGACCUUGAUAAUUAACUCUCCUUGCGAGAGCCUGUUAUCGGGGUUUGUGUCAGGUAUUAAUAACUGAAUACAUAGGUUAUUAAAGCAAACCCGGGGAACUGAAACAUCUCAUUACCCGGAGGAAAGAACAUCAACCGAGACUCCGUUAGUAGUGGCGAGCGAACGCGGACCAGGCCUUGCUUUGCAUAUCUAAUUCGAACGGUCUGGGAAGGCCGACCGUAGCGGGUGACAGUCCCGUAGAAGUGUUGAUGUGCGAAACUAUUGAGUAGGGCGGGACACGUGAAAUCCUGUCUGAAUACGGGGGGACCACCCUCCAAGCCUAAGUACUCCUGUGCGACCGAUAGUGAACCAGUACCGUGAGGGAAAGGUGAAAAGUACCCCGACGAGGGGAGUGAAACAGUACCUGAAACUGGACGUCUACAAGCUGUCGAAGCCAUCUUGCGUGGCGACGGCGUACCUUUUGUAUAAUGGGUCAGCGACUUGGGCUGUCUAGCAAGCUUAAGCCGUUAGGUGUAGGCGCAGCGAAAGCGAGUCUUAACAGGGCGGAUAGUUAGAUGGCUCAGACCCGAAACCAGGUGAUCUAGGCAUGUGCAGGUUGAAGGUGCGGUAACACGCACUGGAGGACCGAACCCACCUAUGUUGAAAAAUGGGGGGAUGACGUGUGCCUAGGGGUGAAAGGCCAAUCAAACCUGGAGAUAGCUGGUUCUCCGCGAAAUCUAUUUAGGUAGAGCGUCAGAUAUUACCGUUGGGGGUAGAGCACUGAAUGGGCUAGGGGGCCUCACCGGCUUACCAAACCUAAUCAAACUCCGAAUACCAAUGAGUACAGUCUGGCAGACACACUACGGGUGCUAAGGUCCGUAGUGGAAAGGGAAACAGCCCUGACCGCCGUCUAAGGUCCCCAAGUAACAGUUAAGUGGUAAAGCGUGUGAGAGUGCUUAGACAACCAGGAGGUUGGCUUAGAAGCAGCCAUCCUUUAAAGAUAGCGUAACAGCUCACUGGUCAAGCGCUCUUGCGGCGAAAAUGUAACGGGGCUUAAACUGUUCACCGAAGACGCGGGCGCCGGGCGAUUUUUACAUGAUAAUAAUUCAAAUAAACCGUCGAUAUUUCAACUUUGGGUUUGACGCCGCUGUGCGGUCCCUGUACCGGGGGCGCGUGUAACUUGGUGGCGUUGUCGCGUCCCUGUUUUGUUUGCAGGUAGGUGCAUGCGCGACGAGAAGCUUUGAAAAACUGCCUGAUGUUGAUCUGCAAAAGAUCAAGGCAAUGAGGUGUGAGGAUAUCGCGCGUGAUGAAAUCAGAAGGCGCGAGCGGGUUCUUUAUGAGGGAAACUGGCCAAGGAAUGCUAGGGGCCUUCUGGCUCGUGCCUAUUACGUGCUUUCUUUGAAGACUAUCAUGUAAAAAUCGCCCGGCGCGGUAGCGGAGCGUUCUGUGACAAAAGUACAUCUUCUGCAUUUUGUACGUGCAAUUCGUCUCCGUGACAGGUUGCAUGGGUAAUGCACGGGAGGUGUAUUUUCAGUGAAGCCGGGCCGUGAGGCAUCCGGUGGAGAGAUCAGAAGUGAGAAUGCUGACAUGAGUAACGAUAAAAGGGGUGAGAGACCCCUUCGCCGAAAGAUCAAGGUUUCCUGCGCAAUGUUAAUCAGCGCAGGGUUAGCCGGCCCCUAAGGCAAGGCCGAGAGGCGUAGUCGAUGGGAACCAGGUUAAUAUUCCUGGGCCAGCGGGCAGUGACGGAUUGAGUGUAUCGUAUUCCCUUACUGGAUUGGGAAUGCGGUGAAUUAGUCCCGGGAAACAGCUCCCGCGUUUAGACCGUACCCCAAACCGACACAGGUGAUCAGGUAGAGCAUACCAAGGCGCUUGAGAGAACUCUGCUGAAGGAACUCGGCAAAUUGCCUCCGUAAGUUCGCGAGAAGGAGGCCUGGCAUAAAGGCAACUUUUUGUCAGGGGCACAGACCAGGGGGUGGCGACUGUUUAUUAAAAACAUAGGGCUCUGCGAAGUCGCAAGACGAUGUAUAGGGUCUGACGCCUGCCCGGUGCUGGAAGGUUAAGAGGAGGAGUGCGAGCUCCGAAUUGAAGCCCCAGUAAACGGCGGCCGUAACUAUAACGGUCCUAAGGUAGCGAAAUUCCUUGUCGGGUAAGUUCCGACCUGCACGAAUGGCGUAACGACUUCCCCGCUGUCUCCAGCAGAGACUCAGUGAAAUUGAAUUCCUCGUGAAGAUGCGAGGUACCCGCGGCUAGACGGAAAGACCCCAUGAACCUUUACUACAGCUUCACAGUGGCAUUCGUAAUGAUCUGUGUAGGAUAGGCGGGAGACUUUGAAACACCGGCGCCAGCCAGUGUGGAGUCAUCCUUGAAAUACCGCCCUUAUCCUUAUGGAUGUCUAACCGCGGUCCGUUAUCCGGAUCCGGGACCCUGUGUGGUGGGUAGUUUGACUGGGGCGGUCGCCUCCCAAAAAGUAACGGAGGCGCGCGAUGGUAGGCUCAAUCCGGUCGGAAAUCGGAUGUUGAGUGCAAUGGCAUAAGCCUGCCUGACUGCGACACUGACAAGUGGAGCAGAGACGAAAGUCGGUCAUAGUGAUCCGGUGGUCCCGUGUGGAAGGGCCAUCGCUCAACGGAUAAAAGGUACUCUGGGGAUAACAGGCUGAUGACGCCCAAGAGUUCAUAUCGACGGCGUUGUUUGGCACCUCGAUGUCGGCUCAUCGCAUCCUGGGGCUGGAGAAGGUCCCAAGGGUAUGGCUGUUCGCCAUUUAAAGCGGUACGUGAGCUGGGUUUAGAACGUCGUGAGACAGUUCGGUCCCUAUCUACCGUGGGAGUAGGAGUUUUGAGAGGAUCUGCCCUUAGUACGAAAGGACCGGGGUGGACGUUCCUCUGGUGGAGCUGUUGUCGCGCCAGCGGCAUUGCAGCGUAGCUACGAACGGACAGGAUAACCGCUGAAAGCAUCUAAGCGGGAAACCCACCUCAAUACGAGAGCUCCCCUGAGAGUCGUCCCAGACCAGGACGUUGAUAGGCCGGGUGUGGAAGUGUGGUGACACAUGAAGCUUACCGGUACUAAUAACUCGAUUGGUUUGAUACU
rnacentral:rRNA from 1 species